AUUUACCCCUUCAGAACGCCAGCAUGCUUCGGGAAGCAGUUAGCUGGGAGAUUUCUUCAGUUUAUAGAUGAGAUUCUGGGACAUCUAUCUGCCUAUCCUCUCCGAAGUCAAAGCCCUCUGCCCUCAGAAAUACGUAGCCUUCCAGAUGGUUUCCAGACAAUAUCAAAUGACAAGAGGCUCAAUCAAACUUGGAAGUGAUAAUGUGCCAAUCAUCUAUCUUUCUGGCAUCUGCAUGAAAAUUAAGAAAUACUUUGGGAAAGUCAUUUAAUUCUGCAAAUGCAAAGCUAAUCUCCGCUCAUCAUCGAAGCAGUAAAACAUAAGAGAUUUCUAUAAGGAAAAUCGCAAUUAAAAAAAAAACCUUACAGAAGUGAAUUAUAAUGAAGCAAACAAUCUUGGAAGCAAUACGUCAGUGGUGGAGCGACCCAAUUAUUUAUUUUUCCAGCCAGGAAUUUACAGCCACGUCGGCCACAGAUGCCACCGUCCAGCUGACCAGCCUGUUUGCAGCGACUACUGCGACUUCGUAGGUUUUUUCUCCUUCCAAGACUUCUGGAACUUGGCAGAAGACAAAAAGCUUCUGGUGGAGAAAAUCAAAUUGGAAAAAGGGAGAGCAUUUAGCUUUUGAAGAAAUAUGUGUGGCCUUUAUUCACUUUCAUCCUGCAGAAGAUGGUGAUAUUCCCAGCCUUUUAAAACGAACCACACACCAUCUGGCUUUCACAAACAGUGCCUCGUACAUCUUCACUUUCUUCAGUGGGGAAAGAUUCCUGCUCUCCCAGGACUGAGCAAACAAAAUGACUUCAGCAUGGUCGUGAUACAGCUGACACGGACUGCCUGUAUUAUUUGGCACUUUUUCAUCAUGAAAUUAAUUUUGCAAAUGCAUCUUCGCCUAUUUGGACUGUGAGUACGUAGAAAGGGCUUUUCUUAUCUUGUCUCUACUAGUAUUAAACAUCUCAACAGUACCCAAGGGUGAACAAAGUCAAGAUCAAGUCAUCAAACAAGGAAAAUAAUUCGCAUUCGUGGCGCUUAUCCUGUAUCUAUCAGAAUCACUUCACUGAUAACGCUUGCUAUCGCAAUGGCUUUUUAACUAUUUCUUUUUCUUCAAUACAUAAACGAUGCAAGAAAGUUUUUUGUUUUUUCUUUUUUUUUUUAAAGAGUUGAUUUGGAGCCUAGAGGUGGAAAGUGUAUUCUGAUAUGACUGGGAAUUAAUUUUCAUCCAUGGCCAUUUUAAAAUAGUACUUCAGAAGAAGCCUAGUUUCCUCGUCCGUGUCUGUGAUGAUUCAGAACCACGUUCAACAUUCUAAAA